UCUUGUGAUUGCCGAUUAUCAAACCAUAAUGCUCAAAAUCGAGGAUGUAGCUUUUUUUUCCAAUUUAACAAGUUACGGAAACUAUUUACACUUAGGCCGUGCGCAACGAAAUAUCGGAAGAGUACAUAUAUAUCCUCAUAACUAUCUUGCGACCCUUGCUUUACUGUUUUGUCAAGUCUAUUUAUUUCAUAGAUUUCCUGCUUAGAUCUAUUGAGAUACGGCACCUUUGCUUUGUCCAGUUGGCCCUUGGACAAGAACGUUGUACAGCAAGACACCUUCAGGAAACAUACUCCUUUCUUAAUGAGACAAAAUGUCAACAAUGGUGAUAAGAUUUCCUUAUACUCUGAUUGUAAGUCGUCGAAAUAAGUCAGUAGGGUUGUUCAUUAAACCAAAUUCAAGGACUCUCUUUCACGAAAGUGGUACACGAAUCCAGGAUAUUGGAUUGAAAAAUAAAUCAGGUUCUCCUUUCACCGCUUAGAGUGAAGGCGAUUGGUCUAUGUGAGGAUUAUUCUAGACUAGCAAAUACCUGUACUCACAAGUACACACAGCUUCGUUUAUUCAACGAAAUAUGUGGAAAUUUGUUUGAGAUGAAGUUUACGGAAAGGAAGGAGACUCAAAAGAAGAAAUAAUUAUGGCGGCUGUGCCUUCCAUGUUACUUAGGAGAACUGAAUGAAAUAAUGUCGAACAUCAAUGGCAACCUGCAAGAGGCCGCGGACCAAGGAGUUGAACGUC